UGCUGGAAAGACGAUGAUGUUUGAAUACCAAGCACAUAUCUGAGCUGAAUGUGUAGACGCUUCUAAUCGCUGAGUCUUUGCCCAGCA